rnacentral:misc_RNA from 1 species
UACCUCGUGGUACUGGCACGUUUUGUGCUCGGUGCUAUCAAGGAAGCCUCGCUCUCGCUAUUGGUUUCGGAUGCCGCUCACGAUAAUGGUUAAUGGCCCUUCUGGUUGCCGCUCACGAUAAAGGUUAAUAGCCCUUCUGGUUGUCGCUAGUCCCACCUGAAAAGAAGCUUUCUGGAUCUGAACGGCGGUAGUACGGUGUGUUGCAUGUAUUUCCCACAGUUUGUGGGGAGAAGCAACACGCUUGGAAACCUCUCUAGUAGGAAAAGGAAAGCUUAGUCCCGUUCAAGUGCGACAACCGGACCGGCUAUUGACCUCAAAACAGGCUCUCUGGAUCAGAACGGUCUUAGUACGGGGUGUUGCAUGUAUUCCCCACAUUUUGUGGUAGGAGACGCAUCACGCUGGAAAUGUCUCUAGUAGGAGAAGGAAAGCUUAGUCCCGCUUAAUAGCGACAACCGGAACGGCUGUUGACCCACCUCAAAAGAAGCCAUCUGGAUCAGAACGGACUUAGUACGGGGUGUUGCAUGUAUUCCCCACAGUUUGUGGUAGGAGACGCAACACGCUGGAAAUGUCUCUAGUAGGUGAAGGAAAGCUUAGUCCCGAUGAAUUGCGACAACCGGACCGGCUGUUGUCUGCCUGCAAGGGCGGAUGACUACCGUCGCUGGACGUCGAAGAGGACUCGCU